rnacentral:ncRNA from 1 species
GACGACCGGCUGGAGAUGUAUGUGUCCAGCCCACAAGUGGAGGCUCCGAUCUCCCACCCGACCGUCCUGCGGACGGCGGGUCACCCCGGUCAGGCGGCCACCAUCGUUCCGUACGGACGAUGGAGUCGCCCGAAAGCGCGCCCCGCGGUCAUCGCGGCGGUGCUCCGGCAGUGUUGUGGAGCCCCGCCUGUGACCGUCCGGGGCGUUUUUU